AUAGUAGCGCAAUGGACAGUGCGUUGGACUUCAAAUCCAAAGGUCGUGGAUUCGAUUCCCACCUGGGCUG